CAGGCCUGGUAUUAGUAAAUUUUGACUCAUAAUUGGAAAAAGUUGCACUGAAGAGAAAAUAAAAUGAGUUACAUUGAAUGUUCACUGAAAGCCUGGGCACUAUUUUAAGGAUUUUACUGUAUUCAGUGGAAGUCUGAGAAGAAUAUGAAACCCAUGAAAAAGUGAUAAGCCACAUUCUAGUGUCAUGAAUACAAAAGGGGUGACAUGCUGAACACAACAAGGCUGCAGAACCAACUGGUAUGAGAAAAUGAUGACCCAAAGAGACUAAUACAACCAGGGAAACUGAAACUUACUUAGUAAAUUGCACUGUUUGAAAUUGCUAGCAAAGUACCUUGGAACAUUUUUAGAUAUGCCUCAGUCAAAACAUAACCAUUGAAUUUUACAGUAGGGGAGCUGCAUCCUCUUCAGUCUCUUUUCUUUUUCCCAUUGCGAAAGGAUGACAACUUGAGCAACCACCUUAGACCCAGAGAUGGAAGCUGCGGCGUGUUCCCCCAGUUGGGUCCUUGGAUGAGUAUGUGGAGCAAAGCCACUUCCUCACUUCUAUCUCAUUUAAGCCAAUGUAUUUUGGAGAAAUUGAUUUUCUGCCAUUUUUUCAUAUGCCAACUGCUAAGCUGCUCUCUCAACUAGCGUCCAAAUUAGAAAUGCCAUCUGGUUUCAAAAAAUAGUAGUGGGAGAAACCUGAAUGUAGCAGAACUCCAUUUUAGGUAUAUUUGAACCAUAGAUACAUAUACAUACCCUACCAAAAAACAACUUGUGUUU
rnacentral:lncRNA from 1 species